rnacentral:lncRNA from 1 species
GUUCCAUGAGGAGGAAGGGAGCAUGGGGUGAGCUGAGGGCAGAAGGCUUUUGUUCCAAAGCCCCUCUGACCUGAAUACACACACUCACAGUGUGCCCUGAAUCUGGCUCAGAAGCGGUCCCUCCAAAGAAGUAAGAGCAGCCUUCACACUGCCAAGCAGAGUAAUUCCUCAGAAUUGGUCCACAUUGGCCUAGAGACAUCGUCUUUAUAGGCAUGGAGUGGGGUUUCUGCAGCCUCCAGUCAAUUCCAACUGAUUUCAAUUGCUAAAGUUAAAAGUUGCCAUUGCAGUUACUGUCAGACCAAACUAACCCCUGAGAACUCUCCACAUUUGUAAAACGGACGGAAAGGUUCAGUGGCGUUUCCCACCUGGAACAGGACUAGGUAAUGCUUUGAACAUGAAGAGGUAUUAAUGGCCACUUGCCCUUUAAACCACAGAGGGACAGCUGUGCACAGUGACCUUCUAGCCCAACUUGAGAGAAGCAGGAAAUGGGGUCUGAGGCUGAAGGUUCAGAUGAUAAACUGUCCCUCAGGAAGAUAACGAAAUGCUUCAUCCUAUGGUGGCCCAAGACACCUCUUAAAAUCUAAGGAAAUAGUUUCCCUUUUAAAAAGCUGCUGUGUGGAAAUAACAAGUGGGAUCUUUUCCUGCUGUUUGUCUCUGCCUGAAUCCUGACAUAUUUUCUCUCACAGAUGUCAAACUUUAGCUAAAAGUGUAUAAAUGAUAUUUCUUUUGAUAGUCCUGAAACAUAAACUACUGUCUCCUCCAACUCUUUCUAAGUUCCACAAUGUUUCCAUGGUUUCAUUCUAUUACAAACUUUGAAACUUUAAUAAUAUUAAGGAAAUUCAUUUACCACAU